rnacentral:rRNA from 1 species
UGCCUACGGGGGGCAGCAGUGGGGGAUACUGCACAAUGGGGGAAACCCUGAUGCAGCGACGCCGCGUGAGUGAAGAAGUAUUUCGGUAUGUAAAGCUCUAUCGGCAGGGAAGAAAAAAAUGACAGUACCUGACUAAGAAGCCCCCGCUAACUACGUGCCAGCAGCCGCGGUAAUACGUAGGGGGCAAGCGUUAUCCGGAUUUACUGGGUGUAAAGGGAGCGGAGGCGGCCACGCAAGUCAGAAGUGAAAACCCGGGGCCCAACCCUGGGAGGGCUUUUGAAAAUGUGCGG